rnacentral:lncRNA from 7 species
GCUUGUGCCAUUAUUUGCUUGUAUGGUAUCAGAGGUGGUGCUCUGAGAAGUAUUGCUUUUCAGAGUGUGUCUAGAAAGAAGAGAGUGCUGAAAGCUGUAUGCGCAAGAUGGAAAGCAAAGAAGAGCAAGACAAACAAAGUUCCUUUGGCAUCGGACAGCGUUCGCACGAAUGACCUGCUCUUUCUCCCUCAAAAAUUAUGGAUUUUGAUUAAUGAAAUGAGGAAGCCAGACUACUUUGUUUUCUACAGCACAUCUAUUAGUAGCUGCAGCCGCAAGGAAUUUCAGAUUGUCCUCAAUUUAGCACAUUUGGAAAAAAUGAUUCUUCUCUUCCUCCUUGCAUACUUGGCUGCCUUAUGCUGACAGUAAUUUUUCUGGCAGAGGAUCUCAGUGGGAAGCACUGCUUUAACAGGCUCCUUGCAGGCAGCUCUGUCACCCUGCGGAUGCUGACAAGAGAGGUCCUGCUCCGGACUGAUCUCAGCACAUGCAGAGGUUGGAAGGCACAGCCUCAUCCAUUCUGGAUUCCCAAAGAUGAACCAGUUUUGGAAGUGACCCGAUACAAUUUGCGGAAGCCAGAACUUUGGGGGAAUAAUUGGACCCUUCUUUAUUUUCUUUCUUUUUUUUUUUUUUCAGCCUAAACAUUCUGUGUGCAUCUGUGCCUUCAAUUUCAUCUUAAAAUUCAGUAAAAAAUUCAAGAUCAUGCUGUUAGCUUUGAUAUCAACGCAAUACUGAGAUUCUCAGAUUCUCUCGUAUAUAUUUUAACUGUAGAUAAUGGUGACUGUUGCAUCACAAAAUACUCAAUAGAAGGGAAGAGCACUCCUGUGUCAGGAGGAUGAAGAAAGCUAGCGAAGCAGGAGAUAAGGUGCAAAUGUGUGCUUCUGCCAGGUUGUUGCUGGGGAUGGGAGGAAAAUACAGGAUAAGGAAAGGGUAAAGGGAAAAGAACUGACAGCAGUGCACCAUGCUCUGUGAGACGUUCAGCCCACAUUGGCCAAUGACCAGAACAAGGAAAACAGUUCUUCCCUAGUAAAAACAGAUAGUAGUCAGUGGGCUGACAGCAAUGUCAAGGAUUGCUCUCUUUUAUGGAACUGAAAAGGUGCAGAAAAACCCUAAUGUGCAGUCAUUGCCUUCUCUAGCUAGACAGAAAGGUCAGACAGUAGCUGGAAAAGUACACUGUGUGUUUUCAGCAGUGAGAUCAGGAAAGACCUUUUGGAGAUUGUUUAAAUAAAAUGUUACUCACUG